AUUGAACGCUGGCGGCGUGCUUAACACAUGCAAGUCGUGCGGUAACAGGCGUAGCAAUACGUGCUGACGAGCGGCGAACGGGUGCGUAAUACAUGGGAAUCUGCCUUUUAGUGGGGAAUAACCCGGCGAAAGCCGGGCUAAUGCCGCAUAAGAUCUUCGGAUGAAAGCGGGGGAUCGUAAGACCUCGCGCUGAUAGAUGAGCCCAUGCCGGAUUAGCUAGNGGUGAGGUAACGGCUCACCAAGGCGACGAUCCGUAGCUGGUCUGAGAGGACGGCCAGCCACACUGGGACUGAGACACGGCCCAGACUCCUACGGGAGGCAGCAGUGGGGAAUAUUGGACAAGUGGGGAAACCCUGAUCCAGCGACGCCGCGUGUGUGAAGAAGGCCUGCGGGUUGUAAAGCAC
rnacentral:rRNA from 1 species